CCCAAAGAGACCGACACCUGGAGCUGGAAACCACAGAGGACGCCCUGCCCAGCGAGGACAUGGAGCUCCUGUCUUGAGGACGAAUCACUCUAGUGUGCCCCUAGGCUGAGCAUCUCACACAGCUCUCUGAGCAGGCGUUUCUACACUUCCUAAUACCGUGAGAACCCUCAUGCCACGUACAACCCAGAAUGGAGUUCUCUGAAGAAAUAAACGCAUGGUGAAAGUGCAAGUAUCCAAAGCUGUAUGGCUGCAGCUCGACAGGGCCACCCCUGCGUACAGUCUCCUGGGAGAGUUAUCAUCCAAGGAACCAGUCCUGGAGACAACGUGGAGUGUGGAAGAAGAGAUUAUCAGCUAUGCUUCAUCUGAGACAUGAAAGGGCCUCCUGCUCCAAGCCGGGAGCAAGUGUGGGAGAGAACCAGGCCCAGGCACCUGGCAGGCGUGCAGCCCUGCGCUCUUCCUCCUCCUCCAGGCAGACUCUGGACACCGGAAAGGAUGUGACGUCAGGA